rnacentral:sRNA from 1 species
UGGACUGCUCUGGAGACUGAAGUCCUCUGUCUAUCCACAGAGCAUGGUUGCAAUGCAGGCAUCAGCAGGACAAUCUUCCCUCUCCACAUCUGUCCUCUGCCAAUGUGCUUCCCUCUUUCCUGGAGGGACGGUUUCCAAGUAUCCCGCUCCACUGCUUGUUCAGACUAUGGCUUCU